rnacentral:rRNA from 1 species
ACUCCUACGGGAGGCAGCAGUGGGGGAUAUUGCACAAUGGGGGAAACCCUGAUGCAGCAACGCCGCGUGAGGGAAGAAGGUUUUCGGAUUGUAAACCUCUGUCCUUGGGGAAGAUAAUGACGGUACCCAAGGAGGAAGCUCCGGCUAACUACGUGCCAGCAGCCGCGGUAAU